ACUACGGGGCGCAGCAGUGGGGAAUAUUGGACAAUGGGCGAAAGCCUGAUCCAGCCAUGCCGCGUGUGUGAAGAAGGCCUUCGGGUUGUAAAGCACUUUCAGUGGGGAAGAAAGCCUUGGGGCUAAUACCCUCGAGGAAGGACAUCACCCACAGAAGAAGCACCGGCUAACUCCGUGCUAGCAGCCGCGGUAAUACGGAGGGUGCGAGCGUUAAUCGGAAUUACUGGGCGUAAAGCGCGCGUAGGCGGUCUGAUAAGCCGGUUGUGAAAGCCCCGGGCUCAACCUGGGAACGGCAUCCGGAACUGUCAGGCUAGAGUGCAGGAGAGGAAGGUAGAAUUCCCGGUGUAGCGGUGAAAUGCGUAGAGAUCGGGAGGAAUACCAGUGGCGAAGGCGGCCUUCUGGACUGACACUGACGCUGAGGUGCGAAAGCGUGGGUAGCAAACAGGAUUAGAUACCCUAGUAGUC
rnacentral:rRNA from 1 species